AUGAAACGUAAGAUAGUUGAAGUAGGACCAUCUGACCGCCAGCAGUCCAAUGACAAGGGAAAGAAAGUGGUGUUUGAGAAAUCCGAGUUUCCGCCACUGGUUUACAUGGGAAAAGAGAAAAUGGUGGCGACACCCAACUCCAAGCUACUUGAGAAAAGAGGUGGCGUUGCGGUCAUAUUGCCGUCAAUGUCAUCUUCAACAAGAAGGCCCACCAAUGCUCGGAAUAUACUUCGAGCCGAUGCUCCUAAGUUUGUCCCCUCACUAGCCCAUAAAUCUAGUGGGGAACGCUUGGGCAUAAUGCAAAAAUGUUUCCUAGAAUGAAAGGGAGUGUUCCUUACAUGUGGUGGCCUCAAAACAGGCCACAUAGAUCCAACAUCUGCACCAUCAGUUCCUCUAUUUGAAGAAGUACCCAUCUUACAAGAAUCCUUUGAAGGUUCGUUUGAUCCAGUGCGACAUCAACAGCGACAGAUAAAUGCCCGUCAAUCUUGGAUUGAUCUUCCAACUGCCGUAGAUCAAGAUGCGGCGAGCCGACAUCGUUCUCAUGUGAGGAAGUCUUUCAAGGGAAGAUGGAAAAACACUCGUCCAAAGAUCCAAGUUUAGAAUCCAGAUGACUCAUAUGUUGAACUUCCCGAUGCAUCCACAUCACAAAAUUAUGAGGGUGGUACCAUCAUGCGACUGGUGGAGGCCCUGGCCCAACAACCUGAGUACCAAGAAUUCAUUCAUCAACAUCCUGAACAUCAAGAGUAUGUGAACUAAGCUGCUCGUGUCCGUUCAAGAAGGGCGGCAUACAAACAAAGAGAAAGGGCAGUACGAGCAAGGUCUGGGUCAAGCAGAGUACAAGGGGCAGAAUAAGCUCCAUUAGAUCAGGACAGUCGGGCUAAAACCAAGAAUAAUUCAUUCAAGGUGUUCCAAGCAAUGCCAGUUGGUGUCAUGGCGGCAUCAGACAAAACCAUCGAAACAUCCUCCACAUCAAUACAUUUCAAGAAGAAGGCAUGCAAAACUGCCGUAGAAGGUCCUCGUCGUAAGACACGAAGCCAAAAAGGUUCAGAUUAUGAAGAACUUGGGUCCAGCUGUGGUGGGUCUUAUAAUCCCCUAUCGGACAAUACCCACUAG
rnacentral:rRNA from 1 species